rnacentral:rRNA from 1 species
GUCGAACGGGCUUAGGGGCUUGCUCCUAGGUUAGUGGCGAACGGGUGAGUAAUAUAUCGGAACAUGUCCGGAAGUGGGGGAUAACGUAGCGAAAGUUACGCUAAUACCGCAUAUGCCCUGAGGGGGAAAGGGGGGGAUCGCAAGACCUCUCGCUUUCGGAGUGGCCGAUACCGGAUUAGCUAGUAGGUGAGGUAAAGGCUCACCUAGGCGACGAUCCGUANCUGGUCUGAGAGGACGACCAGCCACACUGGAACUGAGACACGGUCCAGACUCCUACGGGAGGCAGCAGUGGGGAAUUUUGGACAAUGGGCGAAAGCCUGAUCCAGCCAUACCGCGUGAGUGAAGAAGGCCUUCGGGUUGUAAAGCUCUUUCAGCCGGAAAGAAAUCGCGUUGGUUAAUAUCCAGCGUGGAUGACGGUACCGGAAGAAGAAGCACCGGCUAACUACGUGCCAGCAGCCG